UACCUGGUUGAUCCUGCCAGUAGUCAUAUGCUUGUCUCAAAGAUUAAGCCAUGCAAGUCUAAGUACGAGCUCUCGUACAGUGAAACUGCGAAUGGCUCAUUAAAUCAGUUAUGGUUCAUUUGAUCGUACAGUUUACUUGGAUAACUGUGGUAAUUCUAGAGCUAAUACAUGCGAGAAGCGCCGACCUCGCGGGAGGCGUGCAUUUAUCAGACCAAAAACCGGCCGCGUCUUCGGGCGCGUUCGCCUUGGUGAUUUCUGGAUAACUUUGCGGAUCGCACGGUCUAGCACCGGCGACGGAUCAUUCAAGUGUCUGCCCUAUCAACUUUCGUCGGUACGGUAUUUGCCUACCGAGGUUCUUACGGGUGACGGGGAAUCAGGGUUCGAUUCCGGAGAGGGAGCCUGAGAAACGGCUACCACAUCCAAGGAAGGCAGCAGGCGCGCAAAUUACCCAUUCCCGACGCGGGGAGGUAGUGACGAAAAAUAACAAUGCAGGACUCGUUCGAGGCCCUGUAAUUGGAAUGAGUACACUUUAAAAGCUUUAACGAGUAUCCAUUGGAGGGCAAGUCUGGUGCCAGCAGCCGCGGUAAUUCCAGCUCCAAAAGUAUAUAUUUAAGUUGUUGCGGUUAAAAAGCUCGUAGUUGGAUUUUGGGCGCAGGCGGCCGGUCCGUCGCAAGGCGUGUACUGGACGUCCUGGCCUUCCCUCCGGUUCUCCGCCGGUGCUCUUGACUGAGUGUCGGCGGCGGCCGGAACGUUUACUUUGAAAAAAUUAGAGUGUUCAAAGCAGGCUCUCGAGCCUGGAUAAUGGUGCAUGGAAUAAUGGAAUAGGACCUCGGCUCUAUUUUGUUGGUUUUCGGAGCGCGAGGUAAUGAUUAAGAGGGACAGACGGGGGCAUU
rnacentral:ncRNA from 1 species